rnacentral:lncRNA from 1 species
GGUGGUUGACAUGACUUAUGAUAAUUAUUUUGGUUAUAUUUUGUUCACAGUAUGACCGGUCAAUCAAAUGUGGAUGAUAAUGUGAGUAUCGAUGAUUCCAUUGAUGAAGAUUCGAGUGAUGAUGAUUUGUUAUAUAUGGAUGAUUUUGACGUAAAUUUUGGUGAUUUAAUGCUUAAUUACUUAGUUGCCAACAAAGCAAGUAC